rnacentral:lncRNA from 1 species
AUGCCAGCUGCAGAAGCGAACUGGUGCAGGCUGCGUGGCGGUGUACAUACACAAGAUACAACCUCCUUGUCCCUGGUGACUCACAGCGUUAACGAAACCAACAAAGGAAGAGAACUUGUGAAAGUAGGACACGAAAUGAUGUGAGACUGGCCUGGUACAGCAGGUUCCCCGAGCUACAUCAGAGCUAAAGGUAAAGCAGCUGCCUUCUCUGCAGGAAAAAAAUGAAUCAAGCUUUUUUCCCUACAGCACCCUACUUAGCUCAGAUCCCUUAAAGCUACUCUGUAUCCCCUGCAAAGAUAAAAGCACUGUACUUUCCCUUUUAGUUUGUAUCUCAUAGACUAUCAAAAAGACUAUUCAGAUUGGAUCAAAUACAUUAAAAAAAAAAAAAAUCCCAGUAUUUUGUCUCCAGAAAACCAGAGCAACUAUACAGUGGCUCAUCCCUUGCUGCUGUUAUACACCCAGAUAUUGCAUCUGAACGCUGUAUUCAAUGGCUGUGGCAGAGUAUUCAUUCCAUGAAUUUACUGAGUCUUUUCUGAGUUUACCUAUCUUUAAGCUUCCGCAGCAUCUUUUGGCAAUGUGGCAGUGAGUCUCACACUUCAGCUACUCAGGCCAUGAAAAAAUACUCUCUUGCAUUUGGUUUGUUCCUGGUACUUUCUUGGGUAUCAUGUGUUCUUGUGUUGUGAUAAACAGUUAAUAAUAUUUCAUGUUUAUCUUCUCCAUGUCUCCUGGAGAAAUAACACCCUAUGUUAGCCCUCGGUCAUUUCUUGUCCACAUGGAAGUUUUAUUCCAUUUAAACAAUCCUCAUUCAGAAGCAAUUCAAUGCAGCUGACCGUUCUUUCCAUCUUUCAGUGUAUUUUUCUAGAUUUACCUAUACUGUUUUUGAGAUGAGGUGACUGUACACCACAGGCUAUAUAUCAGCAGAAUAGUUUCUGAUUUUUUUCUCUUGUAUUUUCCUAAUAAUUCUUAAUUGUUUGAGCUCCUACUGAGCACUGGGCUGACAUCUUUAUCAGGCUCUCCAAGAUGUGUUCCUUCAGAUGAAAUAGCUAAUUUAGUGCUCGUCGCCAUGUAGAUGUGUUUGUUUUCACUACCUGCAUUGUCAUUAUUGAACUAUAAUUUAUUGACUUCUGUUUUAUUACCCAGACGC